rnacentral:rRNA from 1 species
UACGUAGGGGGCUAGCGUUGUCCGGAAUCAUUGGGCGUAAAGCGCGUGUAGGCGGCCCGAUGAGUCCGCUGUGAAAGUCCAGGGCUCAACCCUGGGAUGCCGGUGGAUACUGUCGGGCUCGAGUCCGGAAGAGGCGAGUGGAAUUCCUGGUGUAGCGGUGAAAUGCGCAGAUAUCAGGAGGAACACCAAUGGCGAAGGCAGCUCGCUGGGACGUGUCUGACGCUGAGACGCGAAAGCGUGGGGAGCAAACAGG